AACGCGAAGAACCUUACCUGGGCUCGAAAUGUAGUGGACUGGGGUAGAAAUAUCCCUUCCUAGCAAUAGGUCGCUAUAUAGGUGCUGCAUGGCUGUCGUCAGCUCGUGUCGUGAGAUGUUGGGUUAAGUCCCGCAACGAGCGCAACCCUUAUCUCCAGUUGCCAUCAUUCAGUUGGGCACUCUGGCGAAACCGCCUCGGAUAACGGGGAGGAAGGUGGGGAUGACGUCAAGUCAGCAUGGCCUUUAUGUCCGGGGCUACACACGUGUUACAAUGCAUGGUACAAACUGUUGCGAUCCCGCGAGGGGGAGCUAAUCGGAGAAAGCCAUGCUCAGUUCGGAUUGCAGUCUGCAACUCGACUGCAUGAAGCCGGAAUCGCUAGUAAUGGCGUAUCAGAACGACGCCGUGAAUACGUUCCCGGGCCUUGUACACACCGAGACGAC
rnacentral:rRNA from 1 species